rnacentral:rRNA from 2 species
UACGGGAGGCAGCAGUAGGGAAUCUUCCACAAUGGACGAAAGUCUGAUGGAGCAAUGCCGCGUGAGUGAAGAAGGUUUUCGGAUCGUAAAACUCUGUUGUUGAAGAAGAACAUAUGUGAGAGUAACUGUUCACGUACUGACGGUAUUCAACCAGAAAGCCACGGCUAACUACGUGCCAGCAGCCGCGGUAAUACGUAGGUGGCAAGCGUUGUCCGGAUUUAUUGGGCGUAAAGAGAAUGUAGGCGGUUUAUUAAGUUUGAAGUGAAAGCCCUCGGCUCAACCGAGGAAGUGCUUCGAAAACUGGUAAACUUGAGUGCAGAAGAGGAAAGUGGAACUCCAUGUGUAGCGGUGGAAUGCGUAGAUAUAUGGAAGAACACCAGUGGCGAAGGCGGCUUUCUGGUCUGUAACUGACGCUGAGAUUCGAAAGCAUGGGUAGCAAACAGGAUUAGAUACCCUGGUAGUCCAUGCCGUAAACGAUGAGUGCUAAGUGUUGGAGGGUUUCCGCCCUUCAGUGCUGCAGCUAACGCAUUAAGCACUCCGCCUGGGGAGUACGAUCGCAAGAUUGAAACUCAAAGGAAUUGACGGGGGCCCGCACAAGCGGUGGAGCAUGUGG